rnacentral:rRNA from 1 species
UACGUAGGACCCAAGCGUUAUCCGGAAUUACUGGGCGUAAAGAGUUGCGUAGGUGGACUAUUAAGUGGAGCGUGAAAGCGUGCGGCUCAACCGCAUUACUGCGUUCCAAACUAAUAGACUAGAGUAUGAGAGAGGUAGAUGGAAUUUCCAGUGUAGGAGUGAAAUCCGUAGAUAUUGGAAGGAACACCGAUGGCGUAGGCAGUCUACUGGCUCAUUACUGACACUAAGGCACGAAAGCGUGGGGAGCAAACGGG